UCCAUCAUGGUGUAGUGGCUAACAUUAUCGCCUCUCAUACUGACACAGACGCGAUAGCCCAGGGUUCGAUUCCCUGUGAUGGAA